rnacentral:rRNA from 1 species
CCAGCAACUUGGAGGAAUGUAUAGCAAUAGCUGAUUGCACCAACAAAUGGUUGAUGCAAUAUUGACUCUGUCAAAUAAAAUUCUAGGUAGAUUUAUGAUAAUGACAUUGUCUGCCUAUAUGUCUUGACCAAAUUACGUGCCAGCAGUCGCGGUAAUACGUAGAAGACUAGUGUUAUUCAUCUUUAAUAGGUUUAAAGGGUACCUAGACGGUAAAUCAAGCCUUCACAGGGACUAAUUUACUAGAGUUACUUACGAGGGGGUAUUAAAGUACUGCAGGUGUAGAGAUGAAAUUCUGUCAUACCUCUUUUCAAAAGAAAAAUUAUGGCACAGGUAUAGGUGAAAGCAUCCCCUUAUGUGAUAACUGACGUUGAAGGACGAAGGCUUUGUGUCGCGAACAGGAUUAGAUACCCCAGUAGUCAAAGCAGAAAAUGAUGAAUGUCAUAGAUUAGAUAUAUAGUUUAUUCUAUAAAUGAAAAUGUAAGCAUUCCACCUCAAGAGUAAUUUGGCAACAUUGGAACUGAAAUCAUUAGACCGUUUCUGAAACCAGUAGUGAAGUAUGUUGUUUAAUUUGAUGAUCCGCAAAAAACCUUACCACAAUUUGAAUAUUUGUAUCUAUCUUUUUUUUCGUUUUUCGUAAAAAAAUAAAAAGGUAAUAUAUUUACAAGCGUUGCACGGCUGUCUUCAGUUAAUGUCGCGAGACUUUGGUUAGUUCCAUUUAAUUAACGUAAACCCUUACUUUAUUUUUAUAUGAAGUAGUUCCCCACUAUAUUGGAUAUGAUAACAGGGACUAGGACAAGUCAUCAUGG